CAGAAGGCAAAAGGCACGUCUUACAUGGU
rnacentral:piRNA from 1 species